rnacentral:rRNA from 1 species
GAUGAACGCUGGCGGCGUGCCUAAUACAUGCAAGUCGAGCGAACAGACGAGGAGCUUGCUCCUCUGACGUUAGCGGCGGACGGGUGAGUAACACGUGGAUAACCUACCUAUAAGACUGGGAUAACUUCGGGAAACCGGAGCUAAUACCGGAUAAUAUAUUGAACCGCAUGGUUCAAUAGUGAAAGACGGUUUUGCUGUCACUUAUAGAUGGAUCCGCGCCGCAUUAGCUAGUUGGUAAGGUAACGGCUUACCAAGGCAACGAUGCGUAGCCGACCUGAGAGGGUGAUCGGCCCCACUGGAACUGAGACACGGUCCCGACUCCUACGGGAGGCAGCAGAAGGGAAUCUUCCGCACUGGGCGAAAGCCUAACGGAGCACAGCCGAGUGAGUGAUGAAGGUCUUCGGAUCGUAAAACUCUGUUAUUAGGGAAGAACAAAUGUGUAAGUAACUAUGCACGUCUUGACGGUACCUAAUCAGAAAGCCACGGCUAACUACGUG